rnacentral:rRNA from 1 species
GUGCCAGCAGCCGCGGUAAUACGUAGGUGGCAAGCGUUAUCCGGAAUUAUUGGGCGUAAAGCGCGCGUAGGCGGUUUUUUAAGUCUGAUGUGAAAGCCCACGGCUCAACCGUGGAGGGUCAUUGGAAACUGGAAAACUUGAGUGCAGAAGAGGAAAGUGGAAUUCCAUGUGUAGCGGUGAAAUGCGCAGAGAUAUGGAGGAACACCAGUGGCGAAGGCGACUUUCUGGUCUGUAACUGACGCUGAUGUGCGAAAGCGUGGGGAUCAAACAGGAUU